AAAUAACCCCGACCAACGGUCUGUAGAAAAUGGGCCAGCGCGCGCGUACAGAAAUUUUAGCACCCCUUUUGGCCCAAAGCCCGCGAAAUGUUUCCCCACAACACAUUAGUCACCACGCACGGGAGAGGCAAAUCCCUAGCCCCUUUCUCAUUCCCCACGCGCGCCGCCAUGGGCACCCGCCGCCGGCCUCUCCACCUGGCGUCCGCGCUAACCUGCCCCCCGCACUACCCUGCUGGCUUGCUGCCCCCACACGCUCAAACCCUCUGCUCAACCCCGGUGCUCUCUCCUCACCUCGUCGUCGUCACGGCGGGCGCCGUGUAGAUCUGGGGCUUAAUUUGCUGCAGAUCCCAGGAGUGACGGGGCUUAACCUGCUGCAGACGGGGGAGACAUGGCGGGCGCCGUGACGGAGCACUCCCUGGAGGCGCUGGUGCUUACCUCUCGUGGAAGCUUUCAGGGUUGGGAUCCCGGCGAGCGGCGUCAUCAGCUCCGGCACUUACCUCGACUCCCAGGUUCCCGUUCCUCCUUGCAAAAAGAGAGACUUGACUAGAGUAUCACCUGUUCAUCUUUCACCUUUUUCGUCCCAUCCUCCUAGAUGAGCAUGGUAGAAGAAAGUGACGAGAUUGCUACUAAGACAAGGCUGCUGUCACUUGAACUGUUGCAGGGAUUGUUACACUUGCGCCCGUGCAUACAUGCUCAUGUGCCUCCAUGUGUGGCUCUCUAAUCAGAUCCAGCCACUGCCUCCCUAUACAGCAGGGGCCAAACUAUGUGCCGCCCUAGGCAUAGUCGGAUCUCUAAUCAGAUGAGCUGCCUCCACUAUUGUACGCAUGUUAAGCUGGGACGAUAAAAUUGCAUGUGCAUGUGUAUGAGCAUAGUUACGAGGCAUCCAAAGCAAGGAGAGGAUGGGAUGAACAGAACAAUUUCCAAAUUUGACUCGUAUUUGGUCAGGCAAGGUGGUGCUAGUGUAACUCAUGAAUAAGGGAACACUAUAUCAAGGCUGUGAAGAAGGCUACCAUCGAGACAAAGAGCGAGCACCCCAAGGGAUAAUGCGUGGCGUAGAAGGAAUGGCAUGUAGGUAGUUAUCCCCCAUGGGCACAUAGACCAUGAUACAUUGUAUCUCAGGAUAUAGGAAACACAAAAGAGGUGUGCUAAAGAUGUUCAAGCUGGAGAAUGUUCUCCAAUGGGAUGAAGAAUGAAGGCUUUGAUGUCAAGUGCGAGAAUGAUGAAACAAUCUUGCUGGAAAGCUGUGAGGAUGGGUAGUAGUUGCCCACUACAAGGAGCCAAGGCAGAUGAUGUUUUGCAGAAAACAAAGUGAUGAACUUUUGCUCUCAGACAAUGAACUAUCACGUUUCAUCUAUUUAAUUAGUUACAUUAGUUUAUUUAUAGGAAACUUGGCUGCUCAUUGGUUCAUAACAAAUGAACUAUUUAUAUGUGUGUGACUAUUGUUUGGUUCUGGUUUAAUAUUGUUGAAUGAUGCAUGUUAUUGUUAUGUA